rnacentral:rRNA from 1 species
UACGUAGGGGGCUAGCGUUGUCCGGAAUUAUUGGGCGUAAAGAGCUCGUAGGCGGCUUGUCACGUCGGCUGUGAAAACCCGGGGCUCAACUCCGGGCCUGCAGUCGAUACGGGCUGGCUUGAGUGCGGUAGGGGAGACUGGAAUUCCUGGUGUAGCGGUGAAAUGCGCAGAUAUCAGGAGGAACACCGGUGGCGAAGGCGGGUCUCUGGGCCGUAACUGACGCUGAGGAGCGAAAGCGUGGGGAGCGAACAGG